AUAGCUAGUUGGUGGGUAAUGGUUCACCAAGGGGACGAUGGGUAGCCGACCUGAGAGGGUGAUCGGGCCACACUGGGACUGAGACCCGGCCCAGAUUCCUACGGGAGGCAGCAGUAGGGAAUCUUCCGCAAUGGACGAAAGUCUGACGGAGCAACGCCGCGUGAGUGAUGAAGGUUUUCGGAUCGUAAAGCUCUGUUGUUAGGGAAGAACAAGUGCGAGAGUAACUGCUCGCACCUUGACGGUACCUAACCAGAAAGCCACGGCUAACUACGUGCCAGCAGCCGCGGUAAUACGUAGGUGGCAAGCGUUGUCCGGAAUUAUUGGGCGUAAAGGGCUCGCAGGCGGUUUCUUAAGUCUGAUGUGAAAGCCCCCGGCUCAACCGGGGAGGGUCAUUGGAAACUGGGAAACUUGAGUGCAGAAGAGGAGAGUGGAAUUCCACGUGUAGCGGUGAAAUGCGUAGAGAUGUGGAGGAACACCAGUGGCGAAGGCGACUCUCUGGUCUGUAACUGACGCUGAGGAGCGAAAGCGUGGGGAGCGAACAGGAUUAGAUACCCUGGUAGUCCACGCCGUAAACGAUGAGUGCUAAGUGUUAGGGGGUUUCCGCCCCUUAGUGCUGCAGCUAACGCAUUAAGCACUCCGCCUGGGGAGUACGGUCGCAAGACUGAAACUCAAAGGAAUUGACGGGGGCCCGCACAAGCGGUGGAGCAUGUGGUUUAAUUCGAAGCAACGCGAAGAACCUUACCAGGUCUUGACAUCCUCUGACAACCCUAGAGAUAGGGCUUUCCCUUCGGGGACAGAGUGACAGGUGGUGCAUGGUUGUCGUCAGCUCGUGUCGUGAGAUGUUGGGUUAAGUCCCGCAACGAGCGCAACCCUUGAUCUUAGUUGCCAGCAUUUAGUUGGGCACUCUAAGGUGACUGCCGGUGACAAACCGGAGGAAGGUGGGGAUGACGUCAAAUCAUCAUGCCCCUUAUGACCUGGGCUACACACGUGCUACAAUGGACAGAACAAAGGGCUGCGAGACCGCAAGGUUUAGCCAAUCCCAUAAAUCUGUUCUCAGUUCGGAUCGCAGUCUGCAACUCGACUGCGUGAAGCUGGAAUCGCUAGUAAUCGCGGAUCAGCAUGCCGCGGUGAAUACGUUCCCGGGCCUUGUACACACCGCCCGUCACACCACGAGAGUUUGCAACACCCGAAGUCGGUGAGGUAACCUUUAUGGAG
rnacentral:rRNA from 1 species